AACGUAGGACGCAAACGUUAUCCGGAAUUACUGGGCGUAAAGGGCGCGCAGGCGGUUGGGUAAGUGAGGCAUGAAAGCUCCCGGCUUAACCGGGAGAGGAUGUCUGAGACUGCCCGACUAGAGUGAGGUAGAGGGGUGUAGAAUUCCGCGUGUAGUGGUGAAAUGCGUAGAGAUGCGGAGGAAUACCAGUGGCGAAGGCGGCACCCUGGACCUUAACUGACGCUGAGGCGCGAAAGCAUGGGUAGCGAACGGG
rnacentral:rRNA from 1 species